GGGGCGAUCGAUCUUUCCUCCUCCUCUUAGCCAUUUUGGGUAGUGAAGCCACCACCACAAAUUUACCCAUCCAAUCCCUCUGUUGUUGCCGUCGCUCCUGAAAUUAAGCUCAAGCUUUUUCUUUAGUUCCUGUUAAUGUCAAUUAAAUGUUCUCCCCUCCAAAUGAUGAUGAUUAUUCUGAUGAUGAUGAUGAUGAUUAUUCUGAUGAUGAUGAUGAUGAUGAUACAGUAUGGGCUGUUAAAAAUGCAAUUUCUUGUUCCGAAUUUGAUCUGCUAGGAAUUGUAGGGAGACGAUGAGAUGACGACAGGAGAAGCUUCUUGGAUGCCGAGGCGGAUUCGGCCGGAUCGCCACCAUGGAUAUAAAAUAUAAAAAUGGAACAAAUUUUUGAACGGGGGGACCAGAGCAGCCAACUUUAAUCGGAGCCCUCUC
rnacentral:lncRNA from 1 species